rnacentral:rRNA from 1 species
UGGGGAAUAUUGCACAAUGGGGGAAACCCUGAUGCAGCGACGCCGCGUGAGCGAAGAAGUAUUUCGGUAUGUAAAGCUCUAUCAGCAGGGAAGAAAAAUGACGGUACCUGACUAAGAAGCCCCGGCUAACUACGUGCCAGCAGCCGCGGUAAUACGUAGGGGGCAAGCGUUAUCCGGAUUUACUGGGUGUAAAGGGAGCGCAGGCGGCGCGGCAAGUCUGAUGUGAAAGCCCGGGGCUCAACCCCGGGACUGCAUUGGAAACUGUGUAGCUUGAGUGCCGGAGAGGUAAGCGGAAUUCCUAGUGUAGCGGUGAAAUGCGUAGAUAUUAGGAGGAACACCAGUGGCGAAGGCGGCUUACUGGACGGUAACUGACGUUGAGGCUCGAAAGCGUGGGGAGCAAACAGGAUUAGAUACC